UACGGGGGGAGCAAGCGUUGUUCGGAUUUACUGGGCGUAAAGGGCGCGCAGGCGGUCGUGACAAGUCACUUGUGAAAUCUCCGGGCUUAACUCGGAACGGUCAAGUGAUACUGUCGGACUAGAGUACAGAAGGGGCAACUGGAAUUCUCGGUGUAGCGGUGAAAUGCGUUAGAUAUCAGGAGGAACACCGAUGGCGAAGGCAGGUCUCUGGGCUGUAACUGACGCUGAGGAGCGAAAGCAUGGGGAGCGAACAGG
rnacentral:rRNA from 1 species